rnacentral:lncRNA from 1 species
UGUGGUAGAGUGGGAGGGAUCAGCACAAUCUAGAGAUGAAUCGGUUUGAUCUGUAUCUGUUGCUUAUUCUUGGCUGCUUGCUCAAAGUGAAUCUCGAGACGUUUGGGAGCUACUGGAUGUAACUGUAAAAACAUGCAAUGGGUUUUGCGCUAGAAAGGCCGCUGGUAGUGCUGUAGAGUCAUGCUCAAACGUCUCUAGGUUAGUAAUUUUCGCCAGCGAGUUGGAAAACAAUGUCUGAUCAUCAUUCAGUCAUAUGAUGCUCAGUACCGCGGUUUAAUUGAAUAAUCUAUUGGCAAGUAUUCCCGAGGGCAGAUGGAUAUGGCCUUUCCAUGAUUUGUUCAUGGCUUGAUGUUGUGUUCUUCUCUGCGCACUUGAUUAGAGUCAGAUAACACCUGUGAAGAUUUAACUUGCAUACGGCGCGUCGCUGGUGUUGGUCCUUUGUGCGCAGGGCGUUGGAAGACAUCCUUCCCCAAUUCCACUUGAGUCCUGCCUUCGACUUACCAAUGAAGACUUGGUCUUGUGUCAGAUAGCUGCUCUGAAGUAGCCUUCAAGGUCAUGAUCCUGGACAUCUGCAGGUUAGCCGUAUGUUGUUGAUUGCAGGCCAGGCACGGCCGGAGUCAAUCCCACAAAACCACUACUCUCGCGGCGUGAUUAGCUGUUGGCCAUCACUUUAUGAUUUGUGAAAAUGGUUCAGGCCGGCGAAAGCCCGCCGUAGCAUUGUCAAAAACUACGAUUUGUGACUGAUUCAUUGACGAAAAACCUAUUUUUCAUUGAAUACAGUGACCGCUUGCUGAGUUUGUUUGGACAACGAUUAUGAUAGAUGAGGUCUGCUUGUCCGGCUGAGUUGGCAAUUUUUUUUUAAAAAAAUAAAUCUAUGUGGACUGAUUUGGUCUUUUUCCUCCUCUCCCUGUCCUUCCCCUCUCUCUUUGCAUUAUAUCAAACACAUUGUGUGGGAUUAGGACCACACUGAUCCAUAGGUCCCUCCCGUGUGUGGGUUUUUGUGUUAGGCAACCUCGAGGUGAUGUCUGUCGCUAUCAUUAGUUAGGGUUUGCCUUCUUGGCUGACAUGCACUCUUCCCCGUUGAUGUGACGUGCUCAGCCUGUUCCUGACCACCCCUUCUCCUUCCCCAGUGAAACCCUAGUGUCUAGGUUAACAUUUCCCCAUCUCCACCCACCGCCUUUCGGGUGAUCUAUGACACACGAUCAUAAAACAAAAUCCUCUAGUUGGUUCGAUCUGAUCCUGUUCUGCAUCGAUGGACAAGGUUGAGGGUAUGUUGAAGGGUUGAAGUUGUCGGAGGCGGAGAGGAAGGGAAUUAAGAUCGAUUGGCCAGGUUCGGUAUGGUGGGCAUGAUUGAACAGAGAGGUAUGACAAAGUUUUUCUCCGAGAAACCAACCUAUGCGUACGCCCUCGCCCAGUCUCUGGGACGGGCAAGGAGCCUGCUGAGGGGUGUGGACUGCAGGGAUAUGGGGGAAAACUUCUACCUGUUUACAUUCAGGCGAGAGCCGGAUCAGAGGAAGGCUGAGGAGAGAGGGGGGGGGGGACGUGGACUUUUGAGAAGGAUCUGCUACUGCUGGAGGGAAUUUGUCCCAUCCAGAAGUAUCGAGGAUUAUGAAUUCAAGUAUGUCACUAUGUGGGUAAGAGUGUAUGAUCUGUUGUUGGGUGAUAUGCAGCGUGAUAAUGGGAGUUGCUCGGAAAUUUGAUGGGAGAAACACGAGAGGUAGAUGUGGGUCCUGAUGGGAUGGUAAUGUGAAAGUUCAUUCGAACCCGAGUAAAAAUGUUAGUGGUUGAACCACUGAUGAGAGGCAGUUAGGUUACUAUAAUGGUGUGGAGGGACGGGAAGGAGGGAAAUAUAUGGGUCCACUUUGAAUAAAAAAACUAGAUGAUACCCCGCGUAUUGCGGCGGGGAUUGGUUGCAAUAUUGUUGAUGAAGGUUAAAUGAAAUAAAAAUAGAUAUAACUCUAUUUGAUUAUCAUAUAGUUGUAAAUACAUACUCCCUCCAUUCCAAAAUUCUUGUCUUAAAUUUUUCUAAAUACGGAUGUAUCUAGUUACAUUUUAGUGUUAGAUACAUCCGUAUCUAGACAAAUUUAAGACAAGAAUUUUGGGACGGAGGGAGUAUAAAAUAUAGUAGUAUUUUCCCAUGCAUGUUGAGAGAAUAUGAUUAGUGUGAUUCAUGAGGUGCAUGUGUGGUGAGUAGGGAUAUGUGCAUGUUGAGAGAGAAUAUAAAUAUAAUUUUCAUGCAUGUUAGGAGAAAUAAUUAGUGGUUGAUGAGGUGGCAUAUAUGGUGAGGUGGCAUGGUGCAUGUUGAUAGAAUUGAGAUAGUGGGAGUAUAUAGGAUACCUGCCAAUUUUUUUGGUUUUGUGUCAUGUUAUGGGACAUGGUGCUCAGGCAUGCAAGAUCAAACUUAAAAAAGUGAGGACUCCCAAUAUAGAAAGGGCAGAAGACAUUUAUAGAGAACAGGAAGGUGGGGGUGGUGAGGAGAGGAGUAGAUGGAGUGGUGGAAGAGGAGAUGGUAGUCGAGCAGGGGCGAUAGCUAUGGAAGAUGGGGUGGGAGAUCAAGGAUUAGUGAUAUUUCAUGGAAAAAGGUUAACACUAGACGAGGGAGCAACAUUAGUGCGUCUUUGGGCAAGGAUGACGAGGUUACUAGUCCUCUAAAAAAUCUUUCGACUGCUCCAACAGAGCUUCUAAACUUGCAUUUUUUUAUGUUUCAGUUAGUAGGGAGAUGGGAGCUGCUGAAGAUGGGAUAGGUGCCAUGAUAAGGAGGUGUAGGAUAGAGUAGAUGGCUCAAGGAGUGAUCUUGCAGUAUAGACGCAAAGAAGGAAGCACAAAGUGUGAGAAGAGAGAAAGAGGAAUAUAGAGAGGGCUAGGGCGGAGAAGGAGAAGGAUAAGUGUUAGGGCAUAUCUCUCUCUAAGUGGUUUUGGUGUUGAUGACAAUGCGCUUUGCGGACUAACCGUGUGCAUUGAGCAUUUCAGAUAUUCUUAUAUAUGGCACAAGACGGUUUUAUUCCCCUCAGAUAUGGAAAGAGAAAAGACGGAUUUUUCGACAUUUCUUUUUGUUUGAUUUGAGUCUAGGAAAUAUGUACUAUUAAGAGGGGGUCCGUGUUAGAAGAUAUGAGUGGAAUCAACACGUACACAACCUAAAUUCACCAACAUUCCCUUCCCCAACCUUGAAGCAAUUCCCUGUUAUGCCUGGUCUUACCGGCACAGGCUAAGCGGUAAUACCGCUGGUACCCAUAGUAGUACCGCUUAUGCGCUACUUCCUCUAGUAGUGUCGUGGCUACUUCCGCUGUGUUCUCUGUUAGGCUUUCAGGAAUUCAUGGCAGUACUGCUUGGGCGAUACUUUCGUGGAUGUGCCCGUAGCACUACCAUGGGGUUCUCUGUUAGCCCACUAGUAAUUCGCGGUAGUACCGUUGUUGUUACAUAAUAGUACUACUUACGCGGUACUAUCGCUCUGUCACCGUGUGAACUACCGUGGGAUUUUCUAUAUGCCCAUUGAUAAUUCGCGGUAGUACCGCUUAUUGUAGCCGGUAGUACCGCUCCGGCAUAAUUUCCGUGCUGGUACCACUAUGUACUCAUUGGGCCACUUUGAAUCUGUCAUGCUUAGCAGCAGUACCGCUCCCCCGAGUGGUAGUACCGCUUGAGCACGAGCAGUGCAUAACGGUUGGAAUUUUGUACCCAAUAUAUAAGGGGGUCUUCUUCCCCGAGAAGACUCACCUCUCCUUUCCCCAUUUGCUCCAUUGUUGCCCGAACUUAAACUCGCCCGAUCUCCCUCCCUAGCCAUCAAAACUGGUUGUUUGUCUAGGGUUUGGAGAAGAAGGCCCCUAUCUUUCACCAAGAGAUAUUUGAUUUCCCCCUACUAUCCAUUGUGGAUCUUGUUACUCUUGGGUGUUUGGGCACCCUAGAUGGAAGAGGUCACCUCGGAGCCACAUUCCAUUGUGGUGUUACGGGAGCCUCCAAUUGAGUUAUGGAGAGAUCCCCAACCUUCUUUGUAAAUAACCGAUCACUGCCUUCAAGGGCACCACUAGUGAAAUCACGACACCUUGCAUUGUGCGAGGGCAUGAGGAGAAUAAGGUGGUCUUAGUGACUACUUGGGGAGCAUUGUGCCUCCACACCUCUCUAAUGGAGAUGUACCUUCCCCAAAGGAGGGAAUUUCGAAAACACAUCCUCGUCUCAAUCGACUCCACUAGCGGUUACUUCGUGCCUUUACUUUGUGCAAGCUUAUAGUGUUUGUUUAUCUUGUGCUUGCAUUUGUUAUUGUUGUGCUUGUCAUAUAGGUUGUUCACCUAGCUGCAUAUCCAGACAACCUGUUUUCUUGUUGAGCCUUAAUAUUGUUAAAAGAAGUUAAAGAUUAUUAGUGGCUUAUUCACCCCCUCUAGUCGACCAUACCGAUCCUUUCAAUAAGGAAGCCGCAACAACUGCUAUUGGGAAAGCAGACAGACAAAAGGAUGAGAAUAAAAUAGGAAAGAACGUUGGGAAAUAUAAGCGCACACCCAAGGCCGAGGGGGCAGUCUAAGAGCCACUGGGAGUGCAUCUAGGGGCUAAGCGUGGGUUGAUGGAGGUAGUGUUGGGGAUCGUAGCAGAAAUUUAAAAUUUUCUAUGCAUCACCAAGAUCAAUCUAUGGAGUAUUCUAGCAACGAGGGGAAUAGGAGUGCAUCUGCAUACCCUUGUAGAUCACGAGCGGAAGCGUUCAAGAGAACGGGGAUGAUGGAGUCGUACUCGCCGUGAUCCAAAUCACCGAUAACCAAGUGCCGAACGGACAGCACCUCCGCGUUCAACACAAGUACGGUCGGAAAGACGUCUCCUCCUUCUUGAUCCAGCAAGGGGGAAGGAUAGGUUGAUGAAGAUCCAGCAGCACGACGGCGUGGUGGUGGAUGCAGCAGGUUCUCGGCAGGGCUUCGCCAAGCACCAACGAGCGGGAGAGGUGUUACGGGAGGGAGAGGGAGGCGCCAGGGGUUCAGGUGCGGCUGCCCUCCCACCCCUCCACUAUUUAUAAGUGGGGAGAGAGGGGGCCGGCCCCCCUAGAACCCAUCUAGGGUUGGGGGCGGCGGCCAAGGGGGGAGGAGUGCCUCCCAAGUCAAGUGGAGGCCCUCCCCCUUAGGGUUUCCCCCCUCCCAUGCGCAUGGGCCUUGGGGGGGCUGGUGCCCCUGGCCCAUUAAGGCUAGGGCACCCCCUUACAGCCCAUGCUCCUGUAUUGGAUGUGGUGGAACAUUUUCCGGACCUCCGGACCCCUCCAGAAUCCUCCGGAACCUUCCGGAAGCUUCCCGGUACAAUACCGGAAAAAACCGAACUUUUCCCGGAACCCGAAAAACAACUUUCCAUAUAUAAAUCUUUACCUCCGGACCAUUCCGGAACUCCUCGUGACGUCCGGGAUCUCAUCCGGGACUCCGAACAACUUUCGGGUUACUGCAUACUAAUAUCUUACAACCCUAGCGUCAUCGAACCUUAAGUGUGUAGACCCUACGGGUUUGGGAGACAUGCAGACAUGACCGAGACGCCUCUCCGGUCAAUAACCAAUAGCGGGAUCUGGAUACCCAUGUUGGCUCCCACAUGCUCCUCGAUGAUCUCAUCGGAUGAACCACGAUGUCGAGGACUUAAUCAAUCCUGUAUUCAAUUCCCUUUGUCAAUCGGUACGUUACUUGCCCGAGACUCGAUCGUCGGUAUCCCAAUACCUUGUUCAAUCUCAUUACCGGCAAGUCACUUUACUCGUACCGUAAUGCAUGAUCCCGUGACCAACCCCUUGGUCACAUUGAGCUCAUUAUGAUGAUGCAUUACCGAGUGGGCCCAAGAGAUACCUCUCCGUCAUACGGAGUGACAAAUCCCAGUCUCGAUUCGUGCCAACCCAACAGACACUUUCGGAGAUACCCGUAGUGUACCUUUAUAGCCACCCGGUUACCUUGUGACGUUUGGCACACCCAAAGCACUCCUACGGUAUCCGGGAGUUGCACAACCUCAUGGUCUAAGGAAAUGAUACUUGACAUUGCAAAAGCUCUAGCAAACGAACUACAUGAUCUUUAUGCUAUGCUUAGGUUUGGGUCUUGUCCAUCACAUCAUUCUCCUAAUGUGAUCCCGUUAUCAAUGACAUCCCCAUGUCCAUAGCCAGGAAACCAUGACUAUCUGUUGAUCAACGAGCUAGUCAACUAGAGGCUCACUAGGGACAUAUUGUGGUCUAUGUAUUCACACAUGUAUUACGAUUUCCGGAUAAUACAAUUAUAGCAUGAACAAUAGACAAUUAUCAUGAACAAGGAAAUAUAAUAAUCUUUUAUUAUUGCCUCUAGGGCAUAUUUCCAACAGUCUCCCACUUGCACUAGAGACAAUAGUCUAGUUACAUUGUGAUGAAUCGAACACCCAUGGAAUUUUGGUGUUGAUCAUGUUUUGCUCUAGGGAGAGGUUUAGUCAACGGAUCUGCCACAUUCAGGUCCGUAUGUACUUUACAAAUCUCUAUGUUUCCAUUUUGAACACUUUCACGAAUGGAGUUGAAGCGACGCUUGAUAUGCCUGGUCUUCCUGUGAAACCUGGGCUCCUUCGCAAGGGCAAUAGCUCCAGUGUUGUCACAGAAGAGAGUCAUCGGGUCCGACGCAUUGGGUAUGACUCCUAGGUCGGUAAUGAACUCCUUCACCCAGACUGCUUCUUGUGCUGUCUCCGAGGCUGCCAUAUACUCUGCUUCACAUGUAGAUCCCGCCACGACGCUUUGCUUGCAACUGCACCAGCUUACUGCCCCACCAUUCAAAAUAUACACGUAUCCGGUUUGUGACUUAGAGUCAUCCAGAUCUGUGUCGAAGCUAGCGUCGACGUAACCCUUUACGACGAGCUCUUCGGCACCUCCAUAAACGAGAAACAUAUCCUUGGUCCUUUUCAGGUACUUUAGGAUGUUUUUGACCGAUGUCCAGUGUUCCUUGCCGGGAUUACUUUGGUACCUACCUACCAAACGUACGACAAGGUUUACAUUAGGUCUGGUACACAGCAUGGCAUACAUAAUAGACCCUAUGGCUGAGGCAUAGGGGAUGACACUCAUCUCUUCUAUAUCUUCUACCGUGGUCGGGCAUUGAGCCGUGCUCAAUUGCACACCUUGCAAUACAGGCAAGAACCCCUUCUUGGACUGAUCCAUAUUGAACUUCUUCAAUAUCUAGUCAAGGUACGUACUUUGUGAGAGACCGAUGAGGCGUCUCGAUCUAUCUCUAUAGAUCUUGAUGCCUAAUAUAUAAGCAGCUUCUCCAAGGUCCUUCAUUGAAAAACACUUGUUCAAAUAGGCCUUUAUGCUCUCCAAGAAUUCUAUAUCAUCCCAUCAAUAGUAUGUCAUCCACAUAUAAUAUGAGAAAUGCUACAGAGCUCCCACUCACUUUCUUGUAAACGCAGGCUUCUCCAUAAGUCUGCAUAAACCCAAACGCUUUGAUCAUCUCAUCAAAGAGAAUGUUCCAACUCCGAGAUGCUUGCACCAACCCGUAGACUGAGCACUGGAGCUUGCACACCUUGUUAGCAUUCUUAGGAUCGACAAAACCUUCCGGCUGCAUCAUAUACAAUUCUUCCUUAAGAAAGUCGUUAAGGAAUGCCGUUUUGACGUCCAUUUGCCAUAUCUCAUAAUCAUAGAAUGCGGCAAUUGCUAACAUGAUUCGGACGGACUUCAGCUUCGCUACGGGUGAGAAAGUCUCAGCGUAGUCAACCCCUUGAACUUGUCGAUAACCCUUAGCGACAAGUCGAGCCUUAUAGAUGGUCACAUUACCAUCCGCGUCUGUCUUCUUCUUAAAGAUCCAUUUAUUUUCUAUGGCUCGCCGAUCAUCGGGCAAGUCAGUCAAAGUCCAUACUUCGUUUUCAUACAUGGAUUCUAUCUCGGAUUUCAUGGCUUCUAGCCAUUUGUUGGAAUCCGGGACCGCCAUCGCUUCUUCAUAAUUCGAAGGUUCACCGUUGUCUAACAACAUGAUCUCCAGGACAGGGUUGCCGUACCACUUUGGUGCAGAACGUGUCCUUGUGGACCUACGAAGUUCAGUAGGGGCUUGAUCCGAAGUAUCUUGAUCAUCAACAUCCUCUCUAAUCGGUGCAGGCACCAUAGGAACAUUUUCCUGAGCUGCGCUACUCUCUGUUUCAAGAGGUAGUACUUUAUCAAGCUCUACUUUCCUCCCACUUACUUCUUUCGAGAGAAACUCUUUCUCUAGAAAGGAUCCAUUCCUGGCAACAAAGAUCUUGCCUUCGGAUCUGAGGUAGAAGGUAUACCCAAUGGUUUCCUUAGGGUAUCCUAUGAAGACGCAUUUUUCUGACUUGGGUUCGAGCUUUUCAGGUUGAAGUUUCUUGACAUAAGCAUCGCAUCCCCAAACUUUCAGAAACGACAGCUUAGGUUUCUUCCCAAACCAUAAUUUAUAUGGUGUCGUCUCGACGGAUUUCGACGGAGCCCUAUUUAAAGUGAAUGCGGCAGUCUCUAAAGCAUAGCCCCAAAAUGAGAGCGGUAGAUCGGUAAGAGACAUCAUAGAUCGCACCAUAUCCAAUAGAGUGCGAUUACGAUGUUCGGACACACCGUUACGCUGAGGUGUUCGAGGCGGCGUGAGUUGUGAAACGAUUCCACAUUUCCUUAAGUGUGUGCCAAAUUCGUGACUUAAAUAUUCUCCCCCACGAUCUGAUCGUAAGAACUUUAUUUUUUGGUCACGUUAAUUCUCAACCUCAUUCUGAAAUUCCUUGAACUUUUCAAAGGUCUCAGACUUAUGUUUCAUUAAGUAGACAUACCCAUAUCUACUCAAGUCAUCAGUGAGAGUGAGAACAUAACGAUAGCCACCGCGAGCCUCAACACUCAUUGGACCACACACAUCAGUAUGUAUAAUUUCCAAUAAGUUGGUUGCUCGCUUCGUUGUUCCGGAGAACGGAGUCUUGGUCAUUUUACCCAUGAGGCAUGGUUCACACGUGUCAAAUGAUUCGUAAUCAAGAGACUCUAAAAGUCCAUCUGCAUGGAGCUUCUUCAUGCGUUUGACACCUAUGUGACCAAGGCGGCAGUGCCACAAGUAUGUGGGACUAUCAUUAUCAACUUUACAUCUUUUGGUACUCACACUAUGGACAUGUGUAACAUUACGCUCGAGAUUCAUUAAGAAUAAACCAUUCACCAGCGAAGCAUGACCAUAAAACAUAUCUCUCAUAUAAAUAGAACAACCAUUAUUCUCGGAUUUAAAUGAGUAGCCAUCUCGAAUUAAAUGAGAUCCCGAUACAAUGUUCAUGCUCAAAGCUGGAACUAAAUAACAAUUAUUGAGGUUUAAAACUAAUCUCGUAGGUAAAUGUAGAGGUAGCGUGCCGACGGCGAUCACAUCGACCUUGGAACCAUUCUCGACGCGCAUCGUCACCUCGUCCUUCGCCAGUCUCCACUUAUUCCGCAGCUCCUUGCUUUGAGUUACAAAUAUGAGCAACUGCACCGGUAUCAAAUACCCAGGAGCUACUACGAGUGCUGGUAAGGUACACAUCAAUAACAUGUAUAUCACAUAUACCUUUGGUGUUGCCGGCCUUCUUGUCCGCUAAGUAUUUGGGGCAGUUCCGCUUCCAGUGACCACUUCCCUUGCAAUAAAAGCACUCAGUUUCAAGCUUGGGUCCAUUCUUUGACUUCUUCCUGGCAACUGAUUUACCAGGCGCGGCAACUUCCUUGCCGUCCUUCUUGAAGUUCUUCUUACCCUUGCCUUUCUUGAACUUAGUGGUUUUAUUCACCAUCAACACUUGAUGUUCCAUUUUGAUCUCCACCUCCGCUGAUUUCAGCAUUGAAUAUACCUCGGGAAUGGUCUUUUCCAUCCCCUGCAUAUUGAAGUUCAUCACAAAGCUCUUGUAGCUUGGUGGAAGAGACUGAAGGAUUCUGUCAAUGACCGCGUCAUCCGGGAGAUUAACUCCCAGCUGAGUCAAGCGGUUGUGCAACCCAGACAUCUUGAGUAUGUGUUCACUGACAGAGCUGUUUUCCUCCAUCUUACAACUAAAGAACUUGUCGGAGACUUCAUAUCUCUCGACCCGGGCAUGAGCUUGAAAAACCAUUUUCAGCUCCUCGAACAUCUCAUAUGCUCCGUGUUGCUCAAAACGCUUUUGGAGCUCCGGUUCUAAGCUGUAAAGCAUGCCGCACUGAACGAGGGAGUAAUCAUCAGCACGUGACUGAUAGGCGUUCAUAACGUCUUGGUUUGCUGGGAAUGGUGCUUCACCUAGCGGUGCUUCUAGGACAUAAUCUUUCUUGGCAGCUAUGAGGAUGAUCCUCAGGUUCCGGAUCCAGUCCGUAUAGUUGUUGCCAUCAUCUUUCAGCUUAGUUUUCUCUAGGAACGCGUUGAAGUUGAGGGCAACAUUAGCGUGGGCCAUUUGAUAUACAAGACACAUUGUAAAGAUUUUAGACUAAGUUCAUGAUAAUUAAGUUCAUCUAAUCAAAUUAUUCAAUGAACUCCCACUCAGACAGACAUCCCUCUAGUCAUCUAAGUGAAAACAUGAUCCGAGGCAACUAGGUCGUGUCCGAUCAUCACGUGAGACAGACUAGUCAACAUCGGUGAACAUCUCCAUGUUGAUCGUAUCUUCCAUACGACUCAUGCUCGACCUUUUGGUCCUCUAUGUUCCGAGGCCAUGUCUGUACAUGCUAGGCUCGUCAAGUCAACCUAAGUGUAUUGCGUGUGUAAAUCUGGCUUACACCCGUUGUAUUCGAACGUUAGAAUCUAUCACACCUGAUCAUCAUGUGGUGCUUCGAAACAAUGAACCUUCGCAAUGGUGCACAGUUAGGGGGAACACUUUCUUGAAAUUAAUUCAAGGGAUCAUCUUAUUUAAGCUAUCGUCGUUCUAAGCAAAUAAGAUGUAAAACAUGAUAAACAUCACAUGCAAUCAAAUAGUGACAUGAUAUGGCCAAUAUCAUUUCGCUCCUUUGAUCUCCAUCUUCGGGGCGCCAUGAUCAUCGUCGUCACCGGCAUGACACCAUGAUCUCCAUCAUCAUGAUCUCCAUCAUCGUGUCUUCAUGAAGUUGUCACGUCAACUAUUACUUCUACUACUAUGGCUAACGCUUUAGCAAUAAAGUAAAGUAAUUACAUGACGUUUAUGUUGACACGCAGGUCAUAAAUAAAUUAAGACAACUCCUAUGGCUCCUGUCGGUUGUCAUACUCAUCGACAUGCAAGUCAUGAUUCCUAUUACAAGAACAUGAACAUCUCAUACAUCACAUAUAUCAUUCAUCACAACCUUGGCCAUAUCACAUCACAAAGCACUUGCUGCAAAAACAAGUUAGACGUCCUCUAAUUAUUGUUGCAAGUUUUUACGUGGCUGCUAUAGGUUUCUAGCAAGAACGUUUCUUACCUACGCCAAAACCACAACGUGAAUUGCCAAUUUCUAUUUACCCUUCAUAAGGACCCUGUUCAUCGAAUCCGAUCCGACUAAAGUGGGAGAGACAGACACCCACCAGCCACCUUAUGCAACUAGUGCAUGUCAGUCGGUGGAACCGGUCUCACGUAAGCGUACGUGUAAGGUUAGUCCGGGCCGCUUCAUCCCACAAUAUCGCCGAAUCAAGAUAAGACUAGUAACGGCAAGAUAAUUGACAAUAUUGACGCCCACAACUACUUUGUGUUCUACUCGUGCAUUGAAACUACACAUAGACCUAGCUCAUGAUGCCACUAUUGGGGAUCGUAGCAGAAAUUUAAAAUUUUCUACGCAUCACCAAGAUCAAUCUAUGGAGUAUUCUAGCAACGAGGGGAAUAGGAGUGCAUCUACAUACCCUUGUAGAUCGCGAGCGGAAGCGUUUAAGAGAACGGGGAUGAUGGAGUCGUACUCGCCGUGAUCCAAAUCACCGAUGACCAAGUGCCGAACGGACAGCACCUCCGCGUUCAACACACGUACGGUCGGAAAGACGUAUCCUCCUUCUUGAUCCAGCAAGGGGGAAGGAGAGGUUGAUGAAGAUCCAGCAGCACGACGGCGUGGUGGUGGAUGCAGCAGGUUCUCGGCAGGGCUUCGCCAAGCACCAACGAGCGAGAGAGGUGUUACGGGAGGGAGAGGGAGGCGCCAGGGGUUCAGGUGCGGCUGCCCUCCCACCCCUCCACUAUUUAUAAGUGGGGAGAGAGGGGGCCGGCCCCCCUAGAGCCCAUCUAGGGUUGGGGGCGGCGGCCAAGGGGGGAGGAGUGCCUCCCAAGUCAAGUGGAGGCCCUCCCCCUUAGGGUUUCCCCCCUCCCAUGCGCAUGGCCCUUGGGGGGGCUGGUGCCCCUGGCCCAUUAAGGCUAGGGCGCCCCCCUUACAGCCCAUGCUGCUGUAUUGGACGUGGUGGAACAUUUUCCGAACCUCCGGACCCCUCCGGAAUCCUCCGGAACCUUCGGGAAGCUUCCCGGUACAAUACCGGAAAAAACCGAACUUUUCCCGGAACCCGAACAAUAACUUUCCAUAUAUAAAUCUUUACCUCCGGACCAUUCCGGAACUCCUCGUGACGUCCGGGAUCUCAUCCGGGACUUCGAACAACUUUCGGGUUACUGCAUACUAAUAUCUUACAACCCUAGCGUCACAGAACCUUAAGUGUGUAGACCCUACGGGUUCGGGAGACAUGCAGACAUGACCGAGACGCCUCUCCGGUCAAUAACCAAUAGCGGGAUCUGGAUACCCAUGUUGGCUCCCACAUGCUCCUCGAUGAUCUCAUCGGAUGAACCACGAUGUCGAGGACUUAAUCAAUCCCAUAUUCAAUUCCCUUUGUCAAUCGGUACGUUACUUGCCCGAGACUCGAUCGUCGGUAUCCCAAUACCUUGUUCAAUCUCAUUACCGGCAAGUCACUUUACUCGUACCGUAAUGCAUGAUCCCGUGACCAACCCCUUGGUCACAUUGAGCUCAUUAUGAUGAUGCAUUACCGAGUGGGCCCAAGAGAUACCUCUCCGUCAUACGGAGUGACAAAUCCCAGUCUCGAUUCGUGCCAACCUAACAGAAACUUUCGGAGAUACCCGUAGUGUACCUUUAUAGCCACCCAGUUACGUUGUGACGUUUGGCACACCCAAAAGAACUCCUACGGUAUCCGGGAGUUGCACAACCUCAUGGUCUAAGGAAAUGAUACUUGACAUUGCAAAAGCUCUAGCAAACGAACUACACGAUCUUUAUGCUAUGCUUAGGUUUGGGUCCUGUCCAUCACAUCAUUCUCCUAAUGAUGUGAUCCCGUUAUCAAUGACAUCCCCAUGUCCAUAGCUAGGAAACCAUGACUAUCUGUUGAUCAACGAGCUAGUCAACUAGAGGCUCACUAGGGACAUAUUGUGGUCUAUGUUUUCACACAUGUAUUACGAUUUCCGGAUAAUACAAUUAUAGCAUGAACAAUAGACAAUUAUCAUGAACAAGGAAAUAUAAUAAUCUUUUAUUAUUGCCUCUAGGGCAUAUUUCCAACAGGUAGAACAAACUAUUGAGCAGAGGAAGGGGUUUAAGAUUGAUGUCAGCAUGUCUAACAAGAAUGAAGUGGGACUGAUAUAUCAGCCCCGCGAGAACCAAUGAAGAUUGUGGCGUGGAAUUGUCAGGGUUUGGGGAAUGGCCCGACAAUUCGAGGACUCCUGGACGUCCAGAAAAAGGAGGACCCCGAUGUGCUCUUCUUGUUUGAGUCUAGAACAAAUAAACAAGGUCUUGAAUGACUUAGGUGGAAACGUUGGGCUCCAUAACUAGGUGGUGCAAAAAAACAUCAAUGGUUAGAGUGGUGGUCUUUGUUGUGUUUUGGAGGAAUGGAUUGCAAAUGAAAGGUGGGUGGUGUUCUCGAUACCACAUUGAUAUGAAAAUAAAGGAUGAUUGUUUUGAAUGGCAGUCUAUGGGUAUUUAUGGAGAAUCCAAGACUGAUGAGAAGCAGGAGACAUGGAAAUUGUUGUGUACUUUUGUCAAAUCAUAGUGAUAAGCCAUGGUUGAUGGUGGGAGACUUUAAUGAGAUCCUCUUGAGAAAAGUUCCUAGCACGCAACAUUUUUGUCCUACGUAUUUAACAAAUCCACAUCAGUAGCAACAAACUGAUGGAGAAAAUCAUUGCAACAUCCUAAGGAAACAACUUUCUGGCAUAAACACAAUACUUACAACAAAGUGCCGAAAAUCAUCACAACAUGUCGCCCAUGCAUAUGCAGCAAAACCCACACAAGCUUGUCAAACCAUCCCAUGCAACAUAAAAACCUCAAGAUGGCCAACCUUAUAUAAAUUUUGGGCGCCGACGCCCGGGGAUCGCCGGAGCCCCGCCAGAGUCGGGUCAGGCGACCUUGGCCCAUUCCCAACAACCCAAUAUGUCCCCGUGCUCGUUGCGGUCAACCUAUGUUUUCGAGCUCUGGCUCAAACUCCAUGGUCGACCUUAGCAACCCUAGCACCAGCAAACCUAUGGUUAGGUAUAACCCAAUUUCCAAAUAACAUAGAUUGGCUAGUCUCUAUUUAAAUCAUCGAACUUCAGCUUUGAUCUGACUGCAUCUAGCAGGUUGUGCUAUACCUCGUUCGUUGCAAGCUGCAGCACGCCCAUCAGGCCCACUAGCACCUCGCCUCCUAGUGAGCAACCCAACACAUCGCUAAAAAAAACCCUCCCCAACAAGCAACACCUAGGGAGUAAACAAGAUUAUUUUCUUUCAUUAUUUUCACACAUUUAUUUUGUUUUUAUCUCUAUUUCAAAGAAACCUAUAAAAAGGAAAUUGAAUAUUUUUAUAUAUUUCAAAGUAUUAAAAAUGUUGACAGAACUAAAAAAUGUUAAUGAUUUUGGAAAAACUUCUGGGAUUUAAAAAAUCCACGAAUAAAAUGGCAUGAUUUUUGUUUUUUCAUGAAUUUUAAAAAUAUUCACAUAUUUUAAAAAAAGAUCAUAAAUUUGAAAAAUUGUUCAUGAACUUGGAAAAUAUUUAUGAAUUUCAAAAUUUGUAAACAAAUUUUAAAUUGUUUGUGAAUUUUAGUUUUUUUUGUAAAAUGUGAAAGUUCAUAAAAUUUGAAGAUAUUCAUGAAUGUUAAAAAUAAAAAGGGGAAUUUUUAAAAAAUAAAAUAAUAAGUAAAAAAACCCUACCAGAAAAUAAAAAAAAUGAUUGAGGAAUAUGUAAAAAAGGCCUUGAAGCUUCCCAAAACAUGAUGGAAGCGUUCAAACCCGACGUAGAACCACCGCUCGUUCCGUCUCUUCAUGUUGGAAGCCGGGCCUUGGCCCUUGGGGCAUGUGGGUGGUGAUUGCACAAUAUGUAAUAUUGCAAUAAGCGAGACCUCCUGUUUCGCCUUAGCUCUCGAGUUUGUUCGCUGCUGCUCGCCUGGGUUGGCUUUUUCAUCGCUACCUAUGCUAGGCCCUAGGCUAGCUCGUUCUAAAAAAGGUUGCAGCUUUCUUAUAGUCUUUUUAAGAAAAUAUAUUUUAAAAAAUAAUCACAGGUUUAAAAAAGUUCAUGAAUUAGAAAAGUUCACAGAUUUUGAAAAAAGUUUGUGAAUUUGAAAAAAAUCCAUGGAUUUAAUUUUUUUACAUUUUUUGGGCAUUUCAAUAAUAUUCACAAAUUUUAAAAAGUUCACGGAUUUUAAAAACGUUCCUGAAAAUUGAAAAAAAUGGAAGGGAAAUAAAAAUAAAAAUGAGAAAGGAAAAGAAGGAAAAAAAACUUCAAAAUGAAGAAAAAUAGAAAACAGAACAAAAGCAAUUGAAUGCAGCUACCCAAAACCGGGAACGAUUUCAAGAAUUAUAGGCUAACCCAUUUUCUAACGCAGCAUUCCAUUUUUUUUGGCUAAUUUAGCGGCAAAUAGAGUUUUCCCAGCCGACCUCCUAUACGUGCUGCAACGCUCACGGUCACGUUCCCGUCGGCCGGCCCAUUACUGCUUGCUCUGUUACCUGUACUGUACUUUAGGUUCGCUGUUUUUUCUUCUCGUUUCCCUUCCUUAAAAGACCAGCAACUACUAGUUAAAAAACCUGACUAUUGGUUUAUAUAUUUAAAAACAAUAUGAAGCGAAAAUCUUCACAAAUAAAAGGAAGAUCACAAUUUUUAAUUCUUAUAAAUUUUAAAAAUAUCCAUGAAUCUACAAAAUGUUCGUCAAAUUGCAAAAAAAUUCUUGAAUUAAAAAUAAGAAAUUACUUUUUUAUAAAAAUUCAAAGGAAUCCCACUAAUUUGAAAACUUUAUGAGUUUAAUAAAUUUAUGUGAAUUUGAAUUUUUGAUGAAUUCUAGAAAAAGUUCUAAAUUUCAUGAAUACGAAAAAAAAUCAUGAAUUUAAAAAAUGAACGUCAAAAAUGAAAAAGGAAAAAAAGAAACUUGAAAACCCAGACAAAACCAGGUAAAACCGGCAUAGAAACACAUAAGAAGAAAAACCUCGGGAAUACCGAGCUGGAAUGAUUAGAUGGACCGGCUCAUAUAAAAACGCUGUGGGCGCCGAUAUAUAUCAAACUAACUGGCCAUAUACCCUAAAAAAACUAACUGGCCAUAUUUGUCUAAGAAAACAACUGGCCCUAUUUUCUCAACAAAAAAAAAA